ensembl:processed_transcript Gm13446 predicted gene 13446
AUCUGGCGGCUUCUCCAACUAGAUGACUGGGUAUUCCUGCAAGCAGGCCCCUUUCCAGCCCUCGCCUUCAUACAGUACAUUUAAAGUAGCAGUAACCUUUUUUUCCUCCCCCCGCAGCCUGCCUGGAAACAUUAGAAGGGACCGAGGCGGCGAGAUGUCUAAAAUAGGAAGACGCUGAGGACGGCUGGCCUGGCUGCCCGCGUUGCUGGCUGCAGGGAUCUGGUCCGGCUGUGCAGAUGGAAAAGCUAGAAGACAAGAUCUCAUGUGGCUCCCCAGCUGAUGAAGAACUCACCGGGACGCCGAGGGUAGCCUUGAUUGUCUCCUCUUCUGGCUUCCACCCCUUGACUACUGGAUGUACAGGCUCGUGGUACCACGAUGGUUUUCACCUCAGCGCCAGGCACUGAACCCAGGAUUGCAUGCAUUCUAGGUGAACGCUUGCUGCCUGAGCUACAUCCCCAACACUGUGAGGAAUAUCUUCAUGUAUCCCACUCGUAUCCAUCUGAUGACUUCUGUAGGUUAAACUGUAAAACCACAGUUGGUGGAGCAGAAAGGCCUGCAGGCUCAACAUUCUACAAGUGCUGACUUUGGCCUAGCC